GCUCCUAUAGUCUAGUGGUUAGGACGUCGGAUUCUGAUUCCGAAAACAUUGGUUCAAUUCCAGUUAGGAGCU
rnacentral:tRNA from 7 species